AAUUAAAGAAUCAAAAUAGUGGGGUGUAGUCUUUGCCAACUUCAAAACAGAUUUAUGAGAUGUCCAAAUCACAACUUUACUCUAAGCUUCCAUUAUUUCAAAUCACUUUCUCAUAUCCUUCCAAACUGUAUGGUGGCUUAUAUCAGAGCGAUGGAAUUCUGUUUCUAACAGCUUUACCAAUGAGCCGAAUGAGUUGUGCUACAUCCUAAAAACCACUGUGAUGCUUACGAGAAUUACAUUUUCUCCAAAUAUACUAUUUUUUCUGAAAUACCAGUCUAAGGAGACGCCCUCCACCCUGGAUGAAAAUGAGAGUGUCUUGCCAAUCUAGAUUUACCUGGUACGAUGAGCACACUGGUCACUCUCUCCCAAACUGAAUAUGAGUAAGGGCAAGCAAAAAACAGAUGGUCUAUAGUCUCGUCCCUCUCUCCGCAGAAGAUGCAAUCAUGUCUAAUAUCCCACA
rnacentral:lncRNA from 1 species